rnacentral:rRNA from 1 species
GUGAGGAAUAUUGGUCAAUGGGCGGGAGCCUGAACCAGCCAAGUCGCGUGAAGGAAGAAGGAUCUAUGGUUCGUAAACUUCUUUUGCAGGGGAAUAAAGUGCAGGACGUGUCCUGUUUUGUAUGUACCCUGAGAAUAAGGAUCGGCUAACUCCGUGCCAGCAGCCGCGGUAAUACGGAGGAUGCGAGCGUUAUCCGGAUUCAUUGGGUUUAAAGGGUGCGUAGGCGGACUAUUAAGUCAGUGGUGAAAUCCUGCAGCUUAACUGCAGAACUGCCAUUGAUACUGAUAGCCUUGAGUUUGGUUAAGGUAGGCGGAAUGUGUAAUGUAGCGGUGAAAUGCUUAGAUAUUACACAGAACACCAAUUGCGUAGGCAGCUUACUGAGCCGACACUGACGCUGAGGCACGAAAGCGUGGGGAUCGAACAGGAUUAGAAACCCUUGUAGUCC